ACKGCUCAGUAACACGUGGUUAACCUGCCCUUGGGACGGAAACACCCCCGGGAAACUGGGGCUAAUUUCCGAUAGGUGAAGGCUCCUGGAAUGGAUCUUCGCCUAAAGGGCGCUUAGGCCAUGCUUCUAGGCGCUGCCCAAGGAUGGGGCCGCGGCCGAUCAGGUUGUUGGUGAGGUAAUGGCUCACCAAGCCUUUAACCGGUUCGGGCCGUGGGAGCGGGAGCCCGGAGAUGGGCACUGAGACAAGGGCCCAGGCCCUACGGGGCGCAGCAGUCGCGAAAACUCCGUAAUACGCGAAGGCGUGACGGGGCUAUCCCGAGUGCCGUCCGCUGAGGAUGGCUUUUCCCCAGUGUAGAUAGCUGGGGGAAUAAGGAGAGGGCAAGUCUGGUGUCAGCCGCCGCGGUAAUACCAGCACCUCGAGUGGUCAGGAGGUUUAUUGGGCCUAAAGCAUCCGUAGCCGGCUUUGCAAGUCUCCGGUUAAAUCCAGCUGCUUAACAGAUGGGCUGCCGGAGAUACUACAAAGCUAGGGAGCGGGAGAGGUAGACGGUAUUCGGUGGGUAGGGGUAAAAUCCACUGAUCCAUCGAGGACCACCAGUGGCGAAGGCGGUCUACCAGAACGCGUUCGACGGUGAGGGAUGAAAGCUGGGGGAGCAAACCGGAUUAGAUACCCGGGUAGUCCCAGCUGUAAACGAUGCAAACUCGGUGAUGCAUUGGCUUAUGGCCAAUGCAGUGCCGCAGGGAAGCCGUUAAGUUUGCCGCCUGGGAAGUACGGACGCAAGUCUGAAACUUAAAGGAAUUGGCGGGGGAGCAC
rnacentral:rRNA from 1 species